UCAUUGUAUAGUUUACCCUUACCAAAAAAAUAAAUAAAAUAUGUUAUAAAGACACCUAGUAAUAUCUAGUUUAUACGUUUGAAUGCGUUUAAAUUGGGAUACCAAAUUAUUAGAAAAUGUAACUGGAAAAUUAGUUGAUAGAUUAGUGAUCAUAGGCGCAGGUCCAAGUGUAGAACAAUUAUUAGGUAUUCCAGAAUUGUAUGCAGGUACUGGAAUUGAAAUAUCAUCCGCAGUAUAUGAUACAAUAAAUAAUUGGUUAUUAACAGAUAAAAUACAAGCAUUUGUGUUUGACACAACUACGUCAAAUACUGGAAGACUGAAUGGCGCGUGCGUUUUUCUCGAACGAAAGCAAAAUAGGACGAGAAAUUUUGUAUUUUGGAUGUAGACAUCAUAUUUG